rnacentral:rRNA from 2 species
GGGGUCGAAGCGGAGAAUUUAAGCCCCAGUAAACGGCGGUGGUAACUAUAACCAUCCUAAGGUAGCGAAAUUCCUUGUCGGGUAAGUUCCGACCUGCACGAAUGGAGUAACGACUUCCCUACUGUCUCAACCAUGAACUCGGCGAAAUUGCAGUACGAGUAAAGAUGCUCGUUUCGCGCAGCAGGACGGAAAGACCCCGAGACCUUUACUAUAGUUUGGUAUUGGUGUUCGGUGUGGCUUGUGUAGGAUAGGUGGGAGACUGUGAAGCUAUCACGCUAGUGGUGGUGGAGUCGUUGUUGAAAUACCACUCUGGUCACUCUGGAUAUCUAACUUCGGCCCGUGAUCCGGGUCAGGGACAGUGCCUGAUGGGUAGUUUAACUGGGGCGGUUGCCUCCUAAAGAGUAACGGAGGCGCCCAAAGGUUCCCUCAGCCUGGUCGGCAAUCAGGUGUUGAGUGUAAGUGCACAAGGGAGCUUGACUGUGAGAGUGACAGCUCGAGCAGGGACGAAAGUCGGGACUAGUGAUCCGGCGGUACAUUGUGGAAUGGCCGUCGCUCAACGGAUAAAAGGUACCUCGGGGAUAACAGGCUGAUCUUGCCCAAGAGUCCAUAUCGACGGCAUGGUUUGGCACCUCGAUGUCGGCUCGUCGCAUCCUGGGGCUGGAGUUGGUCCCAAGGGUUGGGCUGUUCGCCCAUUAAAGCGGUACGCGAGCUGGGUUCAGAACGUCGUGAGACAGUUCGGUCCCUAUCCGCUGCGUGCGUUGGAAAUUUGUGGAGGCCUGUCCUUAGUACGAGAGGACCGGGACGGACGAACCUCUGGUAUGUCAGUUGUUCCGCCAGGAGCAUCGCUGAUUAGCUACGUUCGGGAUUGAUAACCGCUGAAAGCAUCUAAGCGGGAAGCUUGCUCCGAGAUGAGAUUUCCUGACCCUCUUUUGGGGGGUGUGAGGUGCCCAGUAGACGACUGGGUUGAUAGGCCAGGUGUGGAAGCGUUGUAAGGCGUGGAGCUGACUGGUACUAAUACACCGAAGACUUAUACACACA